AGUGAACGCUGGCGGCGUGCCUAAUACAUGCAAGUCGAACGGAGUGGCGCACGGGUGAGUAAUGUAUAGCUAAUCUGCCCUACACUAGAGGACAACAGUUGGAAACGGCUGAUAAUACUUUAUAGUGUAGGAUGAGGGUAUAUUGUAUCAGCUAGUUGGUCAGGUAAUGGCGAACCAAGGCUAUGACGCAUAAAUGGUCUGAGGGGAGGAUCAGUCACACGGGAACUGGGAAUCGGUGCAGACUCCUACGGGAGGCAGCAGUAGGGAAGAGUGCUCAAUGGGGGGAACCCGGAAGCAGCAACGCGGCGUGGAGGAUGACACUUUUCGGAGCGUAAACUCCUUUUGAUAGGGAAGCGGUACCUAACGAAUAAGCACCGGCUAACUCCGUGCCAGCAGCCGCGGUAAUAC
rnacentral:rRNA from 1 species